CCACAACAAACAGACGCCAUAUUGGUUGUUUACCCCGCGAUCCUACACGAGACCAAGGGAGAGAGACGAGUUAAAGGAAGAUCUCAAUUUACUACUGAACUACAAAGAGAGCGAGGAAUGUGACAAAAAAAGCAGCUCUGCUGAAGAACCAGGACAGGGCAGGGAAGGUGAAUGGCCCAUCUAUAUUCCCUGACCUCUGCACUUCACACCGCAAGAAUUUGAUGCACAUGUUGAAAAACCAUCAAAAGCUGCAAGACAUCAAAAGGAGAUGCAUCAAGGCAAAGGAAGAGCUGUCGGAGAAUUUGCACGUUAGAUUGAAGUGGAUAAUGUAUAUAGAGAGGCGUCUGUAUGAGGCGGACACACGCGUCUCCAUUCACCAAGAGAGUGUGCGGCGCCUGGCUGGACUCCUGCAGGUGGUGGAGCAGAUUCACCGCGCCCCGAGGGUCUAUGCCGCAGCCGUCACGGAGGUGGCUCGCCGGCACGCCUUCUCCAGGGCCUUCCUGCAGGUGAACUAAGGGUCAGAGGAGGGUUACCAAAGAAAACAUAGAUAAACUGAGAAAACUGCUGCCGGAACUUUCUCACUGUCUAGCCAUUGGUGAGGUUCUGGCGGUUCCUCCUCUGCUUCGCCAUUUCACAGCCGCCCUCAAUACACAGGAGGAGAGGAGGAGGAGGAGGAGGAGGAGGAGGAGGAGGAGGAUGAAGAAGAACGAGGAGCAGGAAGACAAGGAGCAGGAGGAGGAUGAUGAGGAGAAAGAGGAGGAGGAGGAAAAGGAAGGCUCUAGGAGAUUACAAGAAAAGACAAGCACACAAGAUUAUGAGGUGUGUGUGUGUGUGUGUGUGUGUGUGUGUGUGUGUGUGUGUGUGUGUGUGUGUGUGUGUGUGUGUGUGUGU